UCCAUCCUGCCCUCCAUCCUUUCCUCCCCCGGAGGCACCGGCUUUGUAGGCUAAUUAGCAGUGAAAUUGGUGAAUUGCAGGCUUCGGCACAGCGGCAUCAACACUUCAGCUGCCACAAGCGCCACUUUAGCCACUGAAAGGGAAGAUGAGGCCCAGUCUAGCACCUCUGUCUUAUCCCAGGCUGCAAAAAAAAACCUACAGGCGAGAGAGAAAUGAAUCCAAAAGAGAGAUUGGGGGUAAUGUCACCCUCUUCAACACCCCUCCUCCCUUACAGAGGAUGGCAGGACUCCAUUGACCACUGAAGGACCACCCUUGUGAAAAGCCCUCAACUGUUCAGAGUGGUGCUAAAAGCAUCUCCCAAAUAAAUAAAGCGAGUUUGACAAGCACCAAAUUGUGAUGGCUAGACGACUGGGUCAGAACAUCUCCAAAGCUGCAGCUCUUGUGUGGUGUUCCCAGUCUGCAGUGGUCAGUAUUUAUCAAAAGUGGUCCAAGGAAGGAACAGUAGUUAACCGGGGACAGGUCAUGGGCAGGCAAGGCUCACUGAUGCAUGUGGGGAGCGAAGGCUUUCCUGUGUGGUCCGAUCCAACAGAUGAGCUCCUGUAGCUCAAAUUGUUGAAGAAGUUAAUGCUGUUAAUGGUCGCUGGUUCAGAACUGUUUUGGCAGCAAAAGGGGGACCAACACAAUAUAAGCCAGGUGGUUUAUAUUAAUAGGUGGCCAUAAAGUUAUACC